GAUGAAGAACGUAGCGAAAUGCGAUAAGUAGUGUGAAUUGCAGAAUUCAGUGAAUCAUCGAAUCUUUGAACGCACAUUGCGCCCCUUGGUAUCCCGAGGGGCAUGCCUGUUCGAGCGUCAUUUCACCACUCAAGCCUGGCUUGGUGUUGGGCGACGUCCUCUUUGGGGACGCGCCUCGAAACGCUCGGCGGCGUGGCACCGGCUUUAAGCGUAGCAGAAUCUUUCGCUUUGGAAGUCGGGGCCCCGUCUGCCGGAAGACCUGCUCGCAAGGUUGACCUCGGAUCAGGCAGGGAUACCCACUGAACUUAAGCAUAUCAAUAAGCGGAGGA
rnacentral:misc_RNA from 1 species